GACGAACGCUGGCGGCGUGCCUAAUACAUGCAAGUCGAACGAAGCUGUUUUAACUGGUGCUUGCACCGACUUAAACAACUGAGUGGCGAACGGGUGAGUAACACGUGGGUAACCUGCCCCAAAGCGGGGGAUAACAUUUGGAAACAGAUGCUAAUACCGCAUAACCACAGAAACCACAUGGUUUCUGUGUCAAAGAUGGUUUCGGCUAUCACUUUGGGAUGGACCCGCGGCGUAUUAGCUAGUUGGUAAGGUAAUGGCUUACCAAGGCAAUGAUGCGUAGCCGAACUGGGAGGGUGAUCGGCCACAUUGGGACUGAGACACGGCCCAAACUCCUACGGGAGGCAGCAGUAGGGAAUCUUCCACAAUGGACGAAAGUCUGAUGGAGCAACGCCGCGUGAGUGAAGAAGGUUUUCGGAUCGUAAAACUCUGUUGUCAGAGAAGAACGUGUGCGAGAGUAACUGCUCGUGCAGUGACGGUAUCUGGCCAGAAAGCCACGGCUAACUACGUGCCAGCCGCCGCCGUAA
rnacentral:rRNA from 1 species